AUUUCACCUACUCGUCGACCAUCGGCAGCUGCUGGGGGCAACAGGUGACCAAUUGACGAAAGCAAACAUAAUUCAUUUCUGUAAAAUACCACUGCAGCUUUUACGGAUUUUGGCAAACAAGAGAGUGACAGCGUACGGACACAGAAUGGAGUUGAGGAGGUCGGUAGUCCGUAUCAGAACCCUUUUAAGGUACUCAAACGUGGCUGUUUCAAUCAUAGUGAGAGCACGUCCCCGCUUUCGUUUUUCAUAGGCACAGGCAGCUGCGCUGAAUCCGUGCACUGAGAGAGGACAUAUCCUGCCAAAGUAGAGAACGGCGGCGUCACAGGGGACCACAGACUGACAUGGAAAACGACGCGGCGACUGCAGAUCGCACCAAUGCCGACAUCAUAGGUAACAUACUGAUAAGUGAUGGAUCCUGUUGUGUCACAUAUUUUCAGGAACGUAGGGUGAUGGAGGGGGUAUUGCAACUCUGAGGCUUAUCAGCUACGUUAACUCAUGUGGUGUAGGUCACUUCGUCCACCAACAGCUUAAUCAGUAUAACGGACGUCAAAGAUGUUCUUACAUGCUACACCGGAAAAUCUGCGUUCCUUGGAAAUCAACUCGGCACGACGUUCGUACCUCGAAGAGAUCUGUUACAGUAUACGACGACGGCUGAUCAUGUGGCGUGAGGGGGGAGUAGAAAUAUGUAAUGUUUCCGCGCCCUCUGCCGCGUAGGGGAGGUGUUGAGGUUCUUUCUGAUUUCAGAAAAGCAACAAGAAUUACAAGCAUUCUUCAGUCCACAGCGAGGAUUUAUCGGUUCUCAAGCUUCCAAGAAUCCACACGCGGGAGAGACCUAAGCUGGCCCCGGGGUAACCCCUCGGAAAUAAUCUCAAUGUGCCAGCAGACGGGCUAACAGAAGAGAGCGUUUCUCUCGAUUGAGCUGGUCUCACCAAAUUCGCAGAUUCCACAGAGCUCACCUGUGCUUGGGGAGCAUCAAAACUCUCUCCAUGUUCCGUUUUUUCUUCCUAAGCGCCGGAUGAGGAAACGCAGACCAGGUGCGUGUCGGUUAUGUAAACACUUGCCAUUCAAAUAAAUGUUGCUCCGGGAGGAACUUGCGAAUGCCCGCUUAGGUAUCUGGGAAGCUCCUCUGUGAAUGUUUGGUUCGUUUUCCGUUCUCACGUGAUUUUCCACGGAUGAAGCAGAUCUCGUUGCGAAAAGUGCGAGGUGCGGCCAUAAACCGUACUGUUGAUGUCAUAGGCACAAAAUGUGGGAACGAAACAGGGUAUUUUGAAAACUAUCCGUCGCUGUGGUUUUGUUGUUCCAAAGCGAUAUCAUUCGGAAUGUGGGCCGUCACCCGCGCUUCUUGGGACUUGCCCUUUCGGCGGUG
rnacentral:lncRNA from 1 species